ACGAAAGUCUGACCGAGCAACGCCGCGUGAGUGAAGAAGGUUUUCGGAUCGUAAAGCUCUGUUGUAAGUCAAGAACGUGUGUGAGAGUGGAAAGUUCACACAGUGACGGUAGCUUACCAGAAAGGGACGGCUAACUACGUGCCAGCAGCCGCGGUAAUACGUAGGUCCCGAGCGUUGUCCGGAUUUAUUGGGCGUAAAGGGAGCGCAGGCGGUCAGGAAAGUCUGGAGUAAAAGGCUAUGGCUCAACCAUAGUGUGCUCUGGAAACUGUCUGACUUGAGUGCAGAAGGGGAGAGUGGAAUUCCAUGUGUAGCGGUGAAAUGCGUAGAUGUAUGGAGGAACACCAGUGGCGAAAGCGGCUCUCUGGUCUGUCACUGACGCUGAGGCUCGAAAGCGUGGGUAGCGAACAGGAUUAGAUACCCUGGUAGUCCACGCCGUAAACGAUGAGUGCUAGGUGUGAGGCCCUUUCCGGGGCUUAGUGCCGGAGCUAACGCAAUAAGCACUCCGCCUGGGGAGUACGACCGCAUGGUUGAAACUCAAAGGAAUUGACGGGGGCCCGCACAAGCGGUGGAGCAUGUGGUUUAAUUCGAAGCA
rnacentral:rRNA from 1 species